rnacentral:lncRNA from 12 species
CAGCUCUUCUACUUCCUUUAUUGAGAAAACACGCAGAUGAUGGCGGAAAAAAUUGAGAGGGAGGGAGAAACAGAGAAAGGAAACAGAAAUCAUAACCAAAAAGUUUGCACCGACUAUUGAAAUAGUCAGCGUUCCCUCGGGCUGAGAGAAAGGGAAAGGCACUUUUUCAUGUCUUGGAAUAUUUUUCUUCUGCACAAUUCUGACUUUUCAGCACAUAUUCAUGCUACAGCGAGAGAGAAGGAAAGAAAACAAAAAGGAUUCAGAGGUUUUACAAUGAACAUUGCAGUGGGCAUACCAUGGAGCCAGA